UGUGAGUCUAUUUGCGAGAGAAACGUUAAAUUGAUUUUAUGUAUUGUUAUUUAGGGAAAUAAGUAUGAACGAAGUAACAGCUAAUAAUUUUCAACAAUUAUAUCCAAAAGUGGAGAAUGCCUUGAAGAAUGCAACUUUUUUUGGGGUCGAUUUGGAGUUUAGUGGCCUGCACGCUGGUGAAGGCGUCCAGUAUAGUUUAUUUGAUACAAUGGAAAAACGUUAUGUUAGAUUGAAGGCAAAUCUGGAGCGUUUUAUAGGAAUACAGUUUGGUCUCACUGCAUUUCAUUAUGUGCGUGAUGAGAAUAAAUACACUGCGGAAUCCUUCAAUUUUUUUCUCGUACCCAGAUCUAUUCCUACAAAGAAUAGACAGUUUACCUGUCAGGCAGCUGCAAUAGAAUUUCUAUGCAGUUAUGAGUUUGACUUUAACAAGUGUUUCUAUGAGGGUAUCUCAUAUCUCAAUGAGAUUGAUGAAGCAGAGUUAUGUAACCAAUUGAAAACAAAUUCAAAUUUAUGUUACGAAGAACAAUUUCUGUCAUAUAAAGAUGAAAAUGAACUCAAAGUACACAGUUUCCAAAUCUUUGAAUGGCUACAAACUAAUCCAAAAGAUCCUAUAGUGAUACAUACAUCAACACCAAUUCUACAAUACCUUCUGCAGAAGGAAUUGAGAAAUCAAUUUCCCAAUAUAUGGACGUAUGCAGGAGAUAGGAAGGUCACUGUACUAAAAGUGGAAAAAGAUGUUCGUAUUAGCCUACAAGAAAAAGAAGAACAUAACAUAGAACAGGUGUUUCUAGAUUAUUAUAUUGGAUUUUCAAAAGUAUUUAAACUUUUAAUUAAUUUGAAGAAACCGAUAGUAGGUCAUAAUGUUCUUCUAGAUCUCAUGCUUAUGCACCAUCAGUUUUACAAACCAUUACCAAAAAGAUAUAGUGAGUUCAAAAAAAACAUCCACCAACUAUUUCCCACAAUAUACGAUACAAAGUUCAUUAGUUACGAAAUGAAGAAUCUUGUAGACAAAGAAGUAUUAUGGAAAUUGAAUGCACUCAGUGUGUUAUAUACACAUUUCAAAGAUGGAAAAGGAAGGCAUUCGACUUUACAGUCACCAUUCAUCGAGUUAAAAGAAAAAACAGUAGCAGACAAAGAGAAGUAUCACGAAGCUGGAUGGGAUUCUUACUGUGCUGGGUUCUGUUUUAUUAGACUGGCACAUCUGUUUGCCGUAAAUUCAUUGGGCAAGGGCUCCGACUUAAGGCCUCUAACGAAUAUCGAAAUAAUGUCUGGCGUAAAGAACUAUGCGAAUUGCGUGAACGUAAUGCGAGGUAUCGUUACACACAUGAAGCUAGAUGGACCUGAUCCAGAACAGAAAAGAAUAAAAUGGCUUCAUGUUCAAUCCCUGGGACGAGAAGCUCUAAAUAUAUCAGAAAUUGCUGAGACGUUUUCUACAUAUGGAGCCAUGGACGUGAAAUUAUGUACACCUGAACGCGCAGUGAUAGCUGUAUCAAAUCAAAGCAGAAGUUUCCAGAAGAAUCAGUUGCAAUGACGCAAUGAAGAAACAGGAAACUGGCUCCCAAUAUGUACAUUUGAGAUAUCCGAGUCCCAAUCACUCGGUGAUCACAGUCAUUCACGUGGAGAGGAUUUCUAUCGAGGGAAACACGAUGGACAGCACCCCAUGUUCUAAGGAUUGACGAUCCAAAUAAAACGGAGCCGUGAGCCUCGUUUUGUAUCUCCUAUUACUACACACAAUCCUCCAUUGCCUGGCAAUUUUACAAAUAGUUUUCUACCUUCAGUCUCAGUCGGCCAAAUGGCAAACUGAACGGAUCGUUUCGCCGUGAUUACUAUAAUUGAUGAUGCCGUUCAAGAUUUAUAAUCAGCUAUGAAUUUUCUAGCGCAAUAAACUCUUUCCAUCGGCGAAGCUAAUUAUACCAACGUGAAAAAUUUUCCUUUGGUACAUAGUCUCAUCAGGCGUUAAGAUAUAUGGAACUUUGCGAAUUCAUAAGUAUGAAAGCUAAUUGAGUGUUAGGACCGACUGAAGUCAAACAAGUUUUCAUCGCGCUGUCAUCGGACGCAAAUGUUUUUGCUGCAGCUUGUCAGCCUGACAAGAAACACAUGUAAUUCAUGGGUUUUAAGUUCACCGUUUGGUCGUAGCAUUUGGGUUAACAUAAUAGGUAAAAUGUAGGUGCGUUAAAAUUGGAAUAGCCAUAAAACCUUUGUCCCUUUUAAAAGUUCUUUUUUACGCUUGGGUCACGAAAUUCUGUAGUUUAGGCCUAGAUAUGAUUUUUGAUGAAUUUUACAAUUUUUUUUUAAAUUCCCAACCGUCUAGUUACGUUCCAAUGGAACAAUUCUGUGAAUGUUAUUGUUGUAUUUCAUCAUUUUUUCAAUACGCUUGUUUUGCUCAGAUUUAAUUCUCGUUUUUGAAUCUUUCCGAAAACAUACCCAAGGCAUAUUCUUAGCAGGUGUGACAGAUUCCACGCAAGUGCGAGGCAUUUGCGUUUGCAUUUUGCGUUCUCCCCUACGCACUGAGCAAAUAUAAUUAGCUAAUAAAUACGCAGUUGGUAUUUUAGUUUAAAGAGGCAGCGGAGCAAGGCAGAACCAUUUUGGAUGCCAUCCAAGGGCAAUGAUGUAUUCAUCGUCGUAUUUAUGAAUUGUAAUAUUAAUGUACGUCAUUUUAAAUAAUUACCAUUCCGUAUGAAUAUUCCGACCCCUGUGACAUUAAAAAUCUCUUCAUGGGUUAUGGUUAUUGCAUUUCAGACAGUUUUUUAUAACAUUCAAAAAUAUCUUGAAUCAUAGUAUUUUCGUGACAAGCGUAAUAUUUAUUUUUUAACUAGUUACAAAAUAGUACAAUCAUUUCGAGGCGUAUCUGUCAGAAAAUAAAUAUGUUUUUUGGCAAUUUUACUAAAUUUA